UCUUCCGCAAUGGACGAAAGUCUGACGGAGCAACGCCGCGUGAGUGAUGAAGGUUUUCGGAUCGUAAAGCGCUGUUGUUAGGGAAGAANNAGUGCCGUUCAAAUAGGGCGGCGGCUUGACGGUACCUAAACCGAAAGCCACGGCUAACUAAGUGCCAUCAGCCGCGGUAAUACGUAGGUGGCAAGCGUUGUCCGGACUUAUUGGGCGUAAAGGGCUCGCAGGCGGUUUCUUAAGUCUGAUGUGAAAGCCCCCGGCUCAACCGGGGAGGGUCAUUGGAAACUGGGGAACUUGAGUGCAGAAGAGGAGAGUGGAAUUCCACGUGUAGCGGUGAAAUGCGUAGAGAUGUGGAGGAACACCAGUGGCGAAGGCGACUCUCUGGUCUGUAACUGACGCUGAGGAGCGAAAGCGUGGGGAGCGAACAG
rnacentral:rRNA from 1 species